GUCUCCGUAGCUUAGUCGGUAGAACACCCGACUUCGGUGCGGAAGAACUCGGAUUCGAGCCCCGAUGCAGGCA